CCUACGGGAGGCAGCAGUGGGGAAUAUUGCACAAUGGGCGCAAGCCUGAUGCAGCCAUGCCGCGUGUGUGAAGAAGGCCUUCGGGUUGUAAAGCACUUUCAGCGGGGAGGAAGGCGGUGAGGUUAAUAACCUCAUCGAUUGACGUUACCCGCAGAAGAAGCACCGGCUAACUCCGUGCCAGCAGCCGCGGUAAUACGGAGGGUGCAAGCGUUAAUCGGAAUUACUGGGCGUAAAGCGCACGCAGGCGGUCUGUCAAGUCGGAUGUGAAAUCCCCGGGCUCAACCUGGGAACUGCAUUCGAAACUGGCAGGCUAGAGUCUUGUAGAGGGGGGUAGAAUUCCAGGUGUAGCGGUGAAAUGCGUAGAGAUCUGGAGGAAUACCGGUGGCGAGGGCGGCCCCCUGGACAAAGACUGACGCUCAGGUGCGAAAGCGUGGGGAGCAAACAGGAUUAGAUACCCGGGUAGUC
rnacentral:rRNA from 1 species